GAUGAACGCUAGCGAUAGGCUUAACACAUGCAGGUCGAGGGGCAGCACAAGGUAGCUUGCUAUCUGGGUGGCGACCGGCGCACGGGUGCGUAACGCGUAUGCAACUUGCCCUAUACAGGAGGAUAACCCGUCGAAAGACGGACUAAUACUGCGUAUGCUCACAACUUGGCAUCAAGUGGUGAGGAAAGAAAUUCGGUAUAGGAUAGGCAUGCGUCCCAUUAGCUUGUUGGUGAGGUAACGGCUCACCAAGGCAACGAUGGGUAGGGGAACUGAGAGGUUUAUCCCCCACACUGGUACUGAGACACGGACCAGACUCCUACGGGAGGCAGCAGUGAGGAAUAUUGGUCAAUGGGCGCGAGCCUGAACCAGCCAAGUCGCGUGAAGGAUGACUGUCUUAUGGAUUGUAAACUUCUUUUAUACGGGAAUAACAAGAGUCACGUGUGACUCCCUGCAUGUACCGUAUGAAUAAGCAUCGGCUAACUCCGUG
rnacentral:rRNA from 1 species